rnacentral:tRNA from 1 species
CAGACUAGAGCUUGGUAAAAGCAUUUUAUUUACAUUAAAAAGUUAAUUGUGAGACUCAAUUUGGUUUGA